UAGAGUUUGAUCCUGGCUCAGAUUGAACGCUGGCGGCGUGCUUAACACAUGCAAGUCGAGCGAGAAAGGGACUUCGGUCCUGAGUAGAGUGGCGCACGGGUGAGUAACGCGUAGGUAAUCUACCUCUGCAUCUGGGAUAACACUUCGAAAGGGGUGCUAAUACCGGAUACACUUAUGGAUCGCAAGAUCUAUAAGGAAAGGAGACCUCUCCUUGGAAGUUUCUGUGUAGAGAUGAGCCUGCGUCCCAUUAGCUAGUUGGUAGGGUAAUGGCCUACCAAGGCGACGAUGGGUAGCGGGUCUGAGAGGAUGAUCCGCCACACUGGAACUGAAACACGGACCAGACUCCUACGGGAGGCAGCAGUGAGGAAUAUUGGACAAUGGGCGCAAGCCUGAUCCAGCGACGCCGCGUGAGUGAUGAAGGCCUUUGGGUCGUAAAGCUCUGUCAGCAGGGAAGAACGGCCGUGUGGUUAAUACCCAUGCGGAUUGACGGUACCUGCAGAGGAAGCACCGGCUAACUCCGUGCCAGCAGCCGCGGUAAUACGGAGGGUGCGAGCGUUAAUCGGAAUUACUGGGCGUAAAGGGCGCGUAGGCGGCUGAUCAAGUCAGGUGUGAAAGCCCACGGCUUAACCGUGUGAAGUGCAUCUGAAACUGGUCGGCUUGAGUAUCGGAGAGGAAAGUGGAAUUCCCGGUGUAGAGGUGAAAUUCGUAGAUAUCGGGAGGAAUACCGGUGGCGAAAGCGACUUUCUGGACGAAUACUGACGCUGAGGCGCGAAAGCGUGGGGAGCAAACAGGAUUAGAUACCCUGGUAGUCCACGCUGUAAACGAUGUGCACUAGAUGUGGGGAAGUGUUGACCUUUCCUGU
rnacentral:rRNA from 1 species